rnacentral:misc_RNA from 1 species
CGACUGGAGACCAGCCUGUCUGUGAA